rnacentral:rRNA from 1 species
CGCACGGGUGAGUAACACGUAUGGAACCUGCCCUAUGCAGGGGGAUAAGCGGAAGAAAUUCCGUCUAAUACCGCAUAACACCAUUUGGAGACAUCUCCAGGGGGUCAAAGGAGGCGACUCCGGCAUUGGAUGGCCAUGCGUCGCAUUAGCUAGUCGGCGGGGUAACGGCCCACCGAGGCGACGAUGCGUAGGGGUUCUGAGAGGAAGGUCCCCCACACUGGUACUGAGACACGGACCAGACUCCUACGGGAGGCAGCAG